UGCAGUGCAGGGGAUGAGAAACGGUCAGUUUCCAAGAUGACCCCAAGGAUUUCCGCUUGAACAAUGAAAGGUGGAGCUGUCACUAACUGAGGCAGGGAAGGCUGAGGGUGGAGCAGGUGUGAGAGUGCCAGCUGGGUUAGGUUUGAGAUGUCUCCCAGACGCGUGGGUGCAGAUGCCUGGGCGGCAGGGAAAUAGAAGUAUCCUGAGUGGAUUUCAGGAGCACUGGGCUUUAGGUGCACAUCUGGGUGCUAUCAGCACAUAGCUAGUAUUUAAAGCCCUGACCUGGACAUGAACAGAGGGAGUGAGAGCAGGCAGGAAGAGGACAAAGACUGGGCCUGGGGACACUGACAUGAGAAGGUGGGCGUGAAGAGGAGGCACCAGCAAAGGAGACCAAGAAGCAGAGGCCAGAGAGGAGGCGGGAACUGUCCCCGAGGCCGGUGAGGAAGGAGAGUCUCUCAAGGUCGGGGGGAGAGGCCGACCUACCAAAGGCACCUGGCCGGGGCACCGAGAGCCACCAGCUGGCCUCAUGGACCAGGGGUUGCCCUCAGCUGGAGAAUGAAGGUGUUUGACCAGAGGGUCUCCAAGCGCUCUUCCAACUCUGUGGGACUCAAAGCAGCCCUGGGGGGCACAGGUCCAGCCCCCAGAUUUGAAACAUCCUUCCUUCAGGGACAAGUGGAAAUAAGAACUCUGGCAAUGGGCCAAAGACGAGAGAAGACUUUCCAGAAGAGGAGACAGGAGCUGGGCUUUGGAGGAUCACUAGAAAUUCCACAGCCUCAUGCUGUGGAAGCUGACCUCUCACCCACUUCUCUUUUGAAGUCAGGAAAACAAUCCCAGUCCCCCACGGAUUGGGAAUCAGACGAUUGAAAGAAAGACAAACACACACUCCCAGGACAGAGGAAUGAAAAUGCAGGAAUCAAGAACCUUAAAUUGUUCAAACUCAACCUGGAUCUGAGCACGAGAAAGGAACUGGAUAAAACCAAACCAAGGGACAUUUUGCAAGAUGAUUGGCCCAGACCCUCCAAAACCUGGUAGACGAGAACGACUACGAAAGGCGGGAGACAAGUUUCCGAUUAAACGAGACUAAGAAAUCUGCUGGCCAAAUGCAAUCCGUGAUCCUUGACUGGACCUUGGAUUUAAAAAAGAACCAAUUCUAAAAGACAUUAUUGAAACAAUUGAGGACAUUCGAAGGCGGGUACUGUAGCAGGUAAUGCUGCACCUCUGUUCCACGGCCUGAAUGUGCUUGUUGGUUAUGGUAAUGUAGGCAAAUGUCACUUUCCUUGAAAGACAUAGGUUCCAGGGUUCAGAGUGUCAUGAUGUCAGCAAUUCAGUUGAUUCAGCAAAAUACAUGUUAUUUUGACACAGA